UACGUAGGGUGCGAGCGUUAAUCGGAAUUACUGGGCGUAAAGCGUGCGCAGGCGGCUUUGCAAGACAGAUGUGAAAUCCCCGGGCUCAACCUGGGAACUGCAUUUGUGACUGCAAGGCUAGAGUACGGUAGAGGGGGAUGGAAUUUCGCGUGUAGCAGUGAAAUGCGUAGAUAUGCGGAGGAACACCAAUGGCGAAGGCAAUCCCCUGGGCCUGUACUGACGCUCAUGCACGAAAGCGUGGGGAGCAAACAGG
rnacentral:rRNA from 1 species